UGGGGAAUAUUGCACAAUGGGCGCAAGCCUGAUGCAGCCAUGCCGCGUGUAUGAAGAAGGCCUUCGGGUUGUAAAGUACUUUCAGCGAGGAGGAAGGCGUUGUGGUUAAUAACCGCAGCGAUUGACGUUACUCGCAGAAGAAGCACCGGCUAACUCCGUGCCAGCAGCCGCGGUAAUACGGAGGGUGCAAGCGUUAAUCGGAAUUACUGGGCGUAAAGCGCACGCAGGCGGUCUGUCAAGUCGGAUGUGAAAUCCCCGGGCUCAACCUGGGAACUGCAUCCGAAACUGGCAGGCUAGAGUCUUGUAGAGGGGGGUAGAAUUCCAGGUGUAGUGGUGAAAUGCGUAGAGAUCUGGAGGAAUACCGGUGGCGAAGGCGGCCCCCUGGACAAAGACUGACGCUCAGGUGCGAAAGCGUGGGGAGCAAACA
rnacentral:rRNA from 1 species